rnacentral:rRNA from 1 species
UAAUACGUAGGGUGCGAGCGUUAAUCGGAAUUACUGGGCGUAAAGCGUGCGCAGGCGGUUUUGUAAGACAGGCGUGAAAUCCCCGGGCUCAACCUGGGAAUUGCGCUUGUGACUGCAAGGCUAGAGUGCGUCAGAGGGGGGUAGAAUUCCACGUGUAGCAGUGAAAUGCGUAGAGAUGUGGAGGAAUACCGAUGGCGAAGGCAGCCCCCUGGGACGUGACUGACGCUCAUGCACGAAAGCGUGGGGAGCAAACAGGAUUAGAUACCCUGGUAGUCCACGCCCUAAACGAUGUCAACUAGUUGUUGGGGAUUCAUUUCUUCAGUAACGUAGCUAACGCGUGAAGUUGACCGCCUGGGGAGUACGGUCGCAAGAUUAAA